rnacentral:rRNA from 1 species
CAGCCGCCGCGGUAAUACGGAGGGUGCAAGCGUUAUCCGGAUUCACUGGGUUUAAAGGGUGCGUAGGCGGAUCUGUAAGUCAGUGGUGAAAUCUCCAGGCUUAACCUGGAAACUGCCGUUGAUACUAUAGGUCUUGAAUUUUGUGGAGGUUAGCGGAAUAUGUCAUGUAGCGGUGAAAUGCAUAGAUAUGACAUAGAACACCAAUUGCGAAGGCAGCUGGCUACACAACUAUUGACGCUGAGGCACGAAAGCGUGGGGAUCAAACAGGAUUAGAUACCCGCGUAGUCCCUGUCUCUUAUAC